rnacentral:rRNA from 1 species
UACGAAGGGGGCUAGCGUUGUUCGGAAUUACUGGGCGUAAAGCGCGUGUAGGCGGGCGAAUAAGUCAGGGGUGAAAUGCCAAGGCUCAACCUUGGAACUGCCUUUGAUACUGUUCGUCUUGAGUCCGGGAGAGGUGAGUGGAACUGCGAGUGUAGAGGUGAAAUUCGUAGAUAUUCGCAAGAACACCAGUGGCGAAGGCGGCUCACUGGCCCGGAACUGACGCUGAGGCGCGAAAGCCAGGGGAGCAAAGCGGG